GGGGGACCACAGGAUCCUGGGCUGUGUCCCCCAGCGUCCUGGGAUCCGGGGCCUGUGCUGCUGGAAUCCUGCUCCUGGCCCUGGCUCCCGU
rnacentral:pre_miRNA from 1 species